UGUGCUCACCCCUGCAUUUCCCCCAAUGGGUGGAUACUGAUGUUAUUAUCCUCAUUUUACAGAGACGAACCCGAGGCUCAGAGAAAUUAAGUCACAUGCCUGAGGUCACAUAGAUCCUAGGAGCUGUGAGAUUCAGGAUUCCGAAGUCUGACUUAAAGUCUGUGUUUUCCCCACGGGGCUUUUGAACUUGACCUCACCCUUUGCCAUUUAUGUUGCCUUUUGCAUU